GCGCGAGUGAUGGAAUUAGGUAGUCUUCUGUGCCUUAGAAGCAUGGGCCUUCGGGCGUGUCGGUUCGAGUCCGACCUUGCGCACCA
rnacentral:tRNA from 1 species